CUCGUUUAUUGGAAAGUACCUCUGACUGAGUUGAAUGAAGUAACAAUACUAUUACUUGAUUUUAGAGGAUUUAGGCUGCUCUGUUCACGUCUCCACCUCUGAUUACAUGAAAGUUUAAAGUUUUGCGGUUGAAAUAUCUUCCACUACAGAGCCUAACAAGAUUACUGCGCCUCCACUGUCUGUCUGGGUGCUACAGACUCAGCUUCAACAGCGCUAGCUACAAUGGUCCCUCCUGUCCAGGUUUCGCCGCUUAUCAAGACUGCAAGAUGGUCUGCCUUGCUGGUGGGAAUCAUCUAUGGAAAGCAGAGAUAUGAUUACCUGAAACCCAUUGCUGCCGAGGAGAGGCGUGUUGAAGAGGCAGAGAAGAAACUGAGGGAGGAGCAAGAGAGAAUCUACAAACAGCUGGCUGAAGCCGACUCUGACAGCAUUCUGAAAUGAAUCAUGACUUCAGUCUCCUCAGUCAUGUCCUGCACUACAAAGUGAAGUAUAAGAGUAAUUAUAUUACCUCUAUUUUUCAAUAAAAGCAUCAAAAGUA